UAGCGGAGGGGGCUAGCGUUGUUCGGAAUUACUGGGGCGUAAAAGCGCACGUAGGCGGCUUUGUAAGUUAGAGGUGAAAGCCCGGGGCUCAACUCCGGAAUUGCCUUUUAAAGACUGCAUCGCUAGAAUUGUGGAGAGGUAAGUGGAAUUCCGAGUGUAGAGGUGAAAUUCGUAGAUAUUCGGAAGAACACCAGUGGCGAAGGCGACUUACUGGACACAUAUUGACGCUGAGGUGCGAAAAGCGUGGGGAGCAAACAGG
rnacentral:rRNA from 1 species